UCCCAUGUGGCUCAGUUGGUAGAGCAUGGUGUUUGCAACGCCAGGGUUGUGGGUCUGAUUCCCAUGGGGGAC
rnacentral:tRNA from 1 species